rnacentral:rRNA from 1 species
GCCCGGCUAACUACGUGCCAGCAGCCGCGGUAAUACGUAGGGGGCGAGCGUUGUCCGGAAUUAUUGGGCGUAAAGGGUACGUAGGCGGCUUUUUAAGUUUGACGUGAAAGCCCGGGGCUUAACUCCGGCGAGCGUUGAAAACUGGAGGGCUUGAGUGAUGGAAGGGACAGUGGAAUUCCUGGUGUAGUGGUGAAAUGCGCAGAGAUCAGGAAGAAUACCAGUGGCGAAGGCGACUGUCUGGACAUUAACUGACGCUGAGGUACGAAAGCGUGGGGAGCAAACAGGAUCAGAUACCCUGGUAGUCCACGCUGUAAACGGUGGGUACUAGGUGUGGGAUCCAUUCCACGGAUUCUGUGCCGUAGCUAACGCAUUAAGUACCCCGCCUGGGGAGUACGGCCGCA